CAGGCCUAACACAUGCAAGUCGAGCGGAGCGAGGGUGCUUGCACCUUAGCUUAGCGGCGGACGGGUGAGUAAUGCUUAGGAAUCUGCCUAUUAGUGGGGGACAACGUUUCGAAAGGAACGCUAAUACCGCAUACGUCCUACGGGAGAAAGCAGGGGAUCUUCGGACCUUGCGCUAAUAGAUGAGCCUAAGUCGGAUUAGCUAGUUGGUGGGGUAAAGGCCUACCAAGGCGACGAUCUGUAGCGGGUCUGAGAGGAUGAUCCGCCACACUGGGACUGAGACACGGCCCAGACUCCUACGGGAGGCAGCAGUGGGGAAUAUUGGACAAUGGGGGGAACCCUGAUCCAGCCAUGCCGCGUGUGUGAAGAAGGCCUUUUGGUUGUAAAGCACUUAAGCGAGGAGGAGGUUACCUAGUUAAUACCUGGGAUAAGGGACGUACUGCAGA
rnacentral:rRNA from 1 species